UGCAGUAGGCGGCACAAUUAGCUCCGCAUAUUCGCCCAAAGUGCAUUCCUUUUUCACAGACGAAGCGCAGCGAUUGUGCAGCUGGAACGAGAGAGAGAAAGACCGUGAGAGAGAGUGAGACAAAGUGUAUUGCAACUACGUGCAGCUAUAAUCGCGUGUGGCAGCGACGUGUGAAAUUUCAAGCACCUUUAAUGCCUGGCAAAAUGCAAAUGUAAUGACAGUGAGAAAACUCGAGGGAUGCUCGACGGGACGUUACCCUGGAAUCCCAUGCUAAGCAUAAAUUUCCUUGGUCCUAACUACCUGCAGCAAUAGCUUAAGCUUGUUUCAACUCCCAAUUUAGAUACACUCACCAUCAUGUGGCACCAGCGACAGAACUUCUGUGUACCUGCUGCAAAUGACUUGAUUAUUGAGACAGCCACGGCAGACAGGUGAGGCAGCGAG